GAUGAACGCUAGCUAUAGGCUUAACACAUGCAAGUCGAGGGGAAACGGCAUUAUGUGCUUGCACAUUUUGGACGUCGACCGGCGCACGGGUGAGUAUCGCGUAUCCAACCUUCCCUCCACUCGGGGAUACCCCGUUGAAAGACGGCCUAAUACCCGAUGUUGUCCACAGAUGGCAUCUGACGUGGACCAAAGAUUCAUCGGUGGAGGAUGGGGAUGCGUCUGAUUAGCUUGUUGGUGCAGGUAACGGCCCACCAAGGCUACGAUCAGUAGGGGUUCUGAGAGGAAGGUCCCCCACAUUGGAACUGAGACACGGUCCAAACUCCUACGGGAGGCAGCAGUGAGGAAUAUUGGUCAAUGGACGGAGGUCUGAACCAGCCAAGUAGCGUGCAGGAUUGACGGCCCUAUGGGUUGUAAACUGCUUUUGUUGGGGAGUAAAGUGGGGCACGCGUGCCUUUUUGCAUUUACCCUUCGAAUAAGGACCGGCUAAUUCCGUGCCAGCAGCCGCGGUAAUACGGAAGGUCCAGGCGUUAUCCGGAUUUAUUGGGUUUAAAGGGAGUGUAGGCGGUCUGUUAAGCGUGUUGUGAAAUUUAGGUGCUCAACAUCUACCUUGCAGCGCGAACUGGCGGACUUGAGUGCACGCAACGUAUGCGGAAUUCAUGGUGUAGCGGUGAAAUGCUUAGAUAUCAUGACGAACUCCGAUUGCGAAGGCAGCGUACGGGAGUGUUACUGACGCUUAAGCUCGAAGGUGCGGGUAUCGAACAGG
rnacentral:rRNA from 1 species